rnacentral:rRNA from 1 species
UACGGAGGAGGCAAGCGUUAUCCGGAAUUAUUGGGCGUAAAGCGUCCGCAGGUGGUUUGUUAAGUCAUUGGUCAAAUCCCGGGGCUCAACCUCGGAACUGCCCGUGAUACUGGAAAACUUGAGGCCGGCAGAGGCAAGCGGAAUUACAGGUGUAGCGGUAAAAUGCGUUUAUAUCUGUAAGAACACCAGAGGCGAAAGCAGCUUGCUGGAACGGUCCUGACACUCAUGGACGAAAGCGUGGGGAGCGAAAAGG